CACGGUGGGUUAACUGUGUAUUGUGGGGUCAGUUGUUGACAGCAGUCAGCUUGCUGGAGCAAAUAACAUGGGUGUUUAAUAUAACAAGGUGAAAAUAGGCCAAUCUGGAUUUCAACAGAGGCUGAUAAUGUUGCUGUGGUCCACCUCCUGAAGCAGAUCAAUCUCCUUCUGUAUGUCCUCCAUCUUGGCGCCUCGCCGUCCACCUCCACGCCGCUUCCGGAUGAACUUGGCGGCAUAUUCCACGAGUGUCAGCCGAUGGGAGCAUUUCCUCACCACAGCAAAGUGACCACUGCAAUGAAAUAAACAGAUCUGAUCACCAUA